GCAGUUUCUCAUUAUAUGAUUAGAAUAUUAUAUUGCUAGGUGUAAACAUCUCAUUAUUGUAUAAAACGUGUAAUGUAAAGUUUAGUCUGGCAAUGCUUUUAUGUAAAGUUUAGUCUGGCAAUGUUUCUAUAUAAAGCCGUCUGGCAAUGCUUUUAUGUUUUGACAGUUCUAUACAAGGCGCAUCCAGUUUGUUUGUCCUUUUGCAUAUUCCUAUACGAAUGGCUAUAAAAGCGAACACUUUGUUCAUAAUUGUUCAUUUCCAUUUGGUGAUCGGCGGUGAGCAGACCACUCGCAUAUAGCUACCUUGGCAGUGUGGACAACGAUAGUUGGCCGCUGCUAAGCUGUUAUCUGCUUGCAUAUCUGUAUUCGCAGUGUGGACAACGUUAUACUUUUAAUAUUAAAUUUUGUGCAAAGACUUGUUUCGACCAUUCUUUAAA